rnacentral:rRNA from 1 species
UACGAAGGGGGCUAGCGUUGUUCGGAGUUACUGGGCGUAAAGGGCGCGUAGGCGGCGCACCAAGUCAGGCGUGAAAGCCCUGGGCUCAACCCGGGAAUUGCGCUUGAGACUGGUGUGCUCGAGUACGGGAGAGGAUAGUGGAAUUCCCAGUGUAGAGGUGAAAUUCGUAGAUAUUGGGAAGAACACCGGCGGCGAAGGCGGCUAUCUGGACCGUAACUGGACGCUGAGGCGCGAAAGCGUGGGGAGCAAACAGG